rnacentral:lncRNA from 1 species
AAAAAUGAUAGCUCAUGUGUAACUGUGUGUCAGGUGUCAUUCUGAGCACUUGACACACAUGGCCUUAUUCAGUCCUCACGUUCGUCUUUAUUAUUCACAUUCUCCAGAUGAGGAAACAGAAUUAGAGAAAGUUGAAUAACUGGCCAAGGUUAAAUGCUAUUAACAUUGGCAAAUUGGGUAGAGGAGUUGCUGAAGACGUGGGAGGAAUCGCAGGUGUCUCCAGGUGUUCAAGGCUGGAGGGCAGGGAACACAAUUUGGAUGGUUUUGUGGGUGAUGGGUGGCAUUGCCCUCAUUCUGCACAUGAGAAAACAGAAGCUCAGAAGUUUUGUGGCUCACCUGGCUGUCCUCAACAAAGAGAAGUCUAAUGGUAAAGGAUUCAAAACACAUAUACUCUGAAGUCAGAAUAUUUAAAAGUGACUGUGGGAUGGUAGAAAAGGCUCACCCCCUCCCCCACCCCCAGCUGGGUCUCCCACCAACCUGCCCCGCAGGCCUGAAAUGACGCUAUUAGAGGAAUAUUGUGCUAAGCAUUCUCUUUUCCCUCCAGCCAACAUCACCUGGGAGCUUGUUAGAAAUGCAAAAUCUCAGCAUCCACCCACAGACUGACUGAUCUAGAAUCUGCAUUUUAACGAGAUUCCCAGACACCUAGACCACAUCAUAAUGUUUCUUCCAACCCUGAAGCUUUUCCGCUGCUCUGCCUACCAGUAGUAUGAACAUUUAAGGGCUUAAUUCCUUCUGCUGCAAUAUUUUGAGAUGCACGGAAGGUCAGGUGUCUGAUCCCUUCUACCAGGGAGAGAUUUGAACCAUUCAUCGGGUUUCCUAUGAGACCUCUCCUGAUGUUUACUUACCUCUUGUAGUUCAAUAAGCAUCUUUGUAAGGAAGAGGAAGAAAUUGCAGGUAUCUGAAAAGCUUAUGCACACAGCCCAAAGGGGC